CAAACAAAAAACUUUAAAGGGGGGGUGAAAUGCUCAUUUUCACUCAAUCUCCUGUUAAUCUUGAGUACCUAUAGAGUAGUACUGCAUCCUUCAUAUCUCCAAAAAGUCUUUAGUUUUAUUAUAUUUAUAAGAGAAAAAUAGUCUGUGCUGAUUUUUUUUCGGUAAAACACGAGCGUCUGGAGGCGUGACAUGUGGGCGGAGCUAAAGAAUCACGAGCGCGAGUAGGCUUUUGCGUUGAGAGCGUUUGGAAGUUGUGACAUUACCGUGAGGAAAAAAAAAACAUCAUCCAAAACAAACCAUGGCUAACAGUCAGAUUCAGCCGUUUAUUUAUGAUCCAGAAUCAGAUCACGAGGCUGAAACUGAACGAGAGCAGCAGCAGCAAUGACUACAGCAGGACGUCUCUAUGUGUACAAGGUUUACUUGAUGUGCUUACGCGCCGAUAGCUAAGUUAACAACACAGAGAUAUUUGAAGCAGUUUUACUCACCGCCUGCGGUUCCAACACACGAUCGUGACCCUUUUUCGUUGGGAUUGCAUCAUCCUUAAGAAAUAAACGAUAUGCAAAUCCGACGUCAAACUGGGUCUUGUUUGUAAAACAAGCAUCUUCGAAAUGCCGGGAACAAACAAAAACACUUGCACAACUCCAUCGAUGCUCUGUAAAAAUAAACUCUGUCCACUGGUUCCUUAAUGUUUUUUUUUUUGGUAAUCUGUGCAGGGUUGUCUUGCCCUCGCAACCAAAAACACACUUCUUUUGUGACAUUUCGCGACGCUCUCGCUCUGAUCAGUGAAUGUCUCUGCUCCGCUUUGCUCUACGGGAGCGCGCGCUCUUCCGGCAGAAGUGCCCUUAUGACCCAUAUAAGGAAAUUCCGCUCCAUCUUACGUCACACAGACCAAUACUCGAAAAAAACUUUCCGAAACUUGUGACAAACCGGAAGGAGUAUUUUUGGAACAAAAAUACUCCUUCAAUUGUACAACUUAAUUUUUGAAACUUUGUCCAUGUUUAGCAUGGGAAUCCAACUCUUUAACAGUAUAAAAAACUCAGUAUGCAUGAAAUAGCAUUUCACCCCCCCUUUAAUG